rnacentral:rRNA from 1 species
ACCAGACUCCUACGGGAGGCAGCAGUGGGGAAUAUUGCACAAUGGGGGAAACCCUGAUGCAGCGACGCCGCGUGAGUGAGGAAGUAUUUCGGUAUGUAAAGCUCUAUCAGCAGGGAAGAAAAUGACGGUACCUGACUAAGAAGCCCCGGCUAACUACGUGCCAGCAGCCGCGGUAAUACGUAGGGGGCAAGCGUUAUCCGGAAUCACUGGGUGUAAAGGGAGCGUAGACGGCUGUGCAAGCCUGAAGUGAAAGGCGGGGGCCCAACCCCCGGACUGCUUUGGGAACUGUACGGCUGGAGUGCAGGAGAGGUAAGUGGAAUUCCUAGUGUAGCGGUGAAAUGCGUAGAUAUUAGGAGGAACACCAGUGGCGAAGGCGGCUUACUGGACUGUAACUGACGUUGAGGCUCGAAAGCGUGGGGAGCAAACAGGAUUAGAUACCCUAGUAAA